rnacentral:rRNA from 1 species
UACAGGAGGAGCCAAGCGUUGUCCGGAUUGACUGGGCGUAAAGCGCACGCAGGCGGAUGCGCGCGUGGGGUGGUGAAAUCUGGCCGCUUAACGGCCAGGCGCCAUCCCAUACGGCGCGUCGGAGUGAUGCAGAGGUCGGUGGAAUUGCCGGUGUAGUGGUGAAAUGCGUAGAGAUCGGCAGGAACACCCAGGGGGAAACCAGCCGAC